UUACGGUCAAAUCACGCUGAAACACCGGUUCUCGUACGAUCACCGAAGUUAAGCAUCGUAGAGCCAGGUCAGUACUUAGAUGGGGGACCGCUUGGGAACACCUGGUAG
rnacentral:rRNA from 1 species